UCCUCUUCCCCCACCGUGCCUCUCCUCGUCUGCUUGAAAACGACAUGAGAACUCGAGCGGUGACUACGCUGUCGUCGCCGUUCCCACGGCCUACGAGCUCCCCGGCGCUUGUAGAGUUGUCCCGAAGAGCCGCAACAGUCGUCUUCAUCAUCUACGCCGCUGGAUCGGAGCCGUGGAGCAACACCAUCGUCGUCCACGUCAAUCCCCUUCAACGAACAUCGCCUCUGCCUUGCCGUCGAUCCCCUCGUCUCCAGCUGCCUCCGGUUCCCCUGAGCUCCUACGAACCCCCCCUGUGAGCUCCUCCUCCGACUCCCGGCCUUGCCCCCGUCGAUCUAUCGCUGUAGAGUCACCCCGCGAGCUCGCGCCCACCGUGGCCGAAGCCCUGCCGCAACCGCACCGGGCUCACCCCCGUACAGGCUCGCCGCACCCAUGUUCGUGCUCCCUGGCGCGUCCGACCGUGCCUAACCCCCCACGCGCGCGCCGAGCGCCUGGCACGCUUGCGCUGGCCUCGCCUACCCUGCUCCCUGGCCGCCCGACGCUGCCGCCGCGGCCCUGUUUCCCCGUGCACCCGUGUCCGCUAGCUGCCGCGGCGCUGCUGCCUGCACCCCCGCACACGCCAGGUCGAGCCUCCCCACGCGCGCGUACACUGUUGGCUGCUGCCGCGCGCGCACGCCCCGCCGUGGCCUUGCCACCGCCCCUGGAUAGCGCCCUGGCCGCCUCGUGCGCGCCCUGGGUUUAUACCUCGCCCCGCGCUUGCAGCCGCUCAUCGUCGCGCAGCGCUGCUGCUGCUGCCGUUUUGCUGCUGCCACUGCUACAGUGAACUGAACUUCACUGUAGGGUUGGCUAGCUUUACUGAAAUAAUGCUGAUUAGCCCUCUGUGUAGCUUCAAAAUAACAGCAAAGCAAAUUUUAUUAUGGGAAAUAUUUAUAUGGGUGUGUAGUACACUUGACAGGGUCCAAUUAAUUCCAUUGGACCAAAUCCAAAAAUCACCUAGAUUAAUUCCUAUGAAAAUGAGAAAAGUCUAUGUUCUGUUAACUGGAAGAACUAGUAACGGAUAUACUGCCAUAUCAAAUUUGGAGCAGAAAGUAAACAAGUUACAGGGAUCUAACAGAGAUGCAAUUGAUACCAUCUUGUAGACCACAGGAAAAUGAUCAAUAUUGGUAUAAGGCAUCAAUUCAUAGUUUGAAUAGAACACUAGUUAUAGCCUAUGGAAAACCACUAAAUGAUGUUUAAAACUGAGGACUUGGCAGAAUUUCAGUAAUUUCAGAAAAUGCCUAAAACUUCCAAAAUUCGUAGAAAAUUAACCGUAACUCCGGUCGAAAAACUUUAUAUAUGAAAGUUGCUCAGAAAGACGAGAUGAAUCCGAAUAUACCCACCUCAUACCUGCCACAUGCCUCUAGCAUGAUGAACAUGGAACUUUCCUCUCCGUUUCAUUUGUCCGAUAAUCACCCGGAGCUGAGAUAGUUUCCCACUCCCAUAACUUGUGUAGUACCAUGUUAGGGCACUCCUCGUAUAACAUGCUGUCGUGCCAUGCUUGUGUGAUUGCUUUUACUGCGUAUAUUUAUUUGUUUCCUUCCCCUCUUCUCUUUGAUAGACCCUGAGACCCAUGACGACCGAUGAUCGUCUACCUCGUCGAAGACCCAUUGAUGACUGCAAAGCAACCAGGCAAGCACCCCCUUUAAGCAUUCCGAUAUCGCCUAUUCUCUUCUCUCUUACGCUUGCAUUAGAAAUUGCUGUUGUUAUUGCUUUACCUAUUUUGAUGCAUAGCCUGAUCUUGUAACCUGCUAUUGUUACCUACCUGUUUAUCCUAAACUGCUUAGUAUAGGCUAGUUAGAGACCCAUCAGAGACUCCAUGUUGACCUAACUGCCCUGCUGGAUUAUCAGAAGACCCGAUCAACGAGAUUGAAGACCAGGACCCGGCACCGCACAACACUCCCCUUAGUUGUACGACACUGCAACGUUACUAUCGAGUGCCCAUGGUGAUACCUCGUUAGCACUUUUGAUGCUAGCUCUAUGGAGUAGUUACCCGGUCGUGGUCAUCGAGGGUGAUUCCUCCUUUUCCAGUUCCCACAAUGACCCUGUCGUGCAACACCUCAAGUAUGAGCCUCGAGGGUGAUUUCCUCUUAUGUUCACCUUGAUGUUUACAUCAGUUGGGAGUCCAAUGAGGGUGAUGCCUCGGGUUCCUUCUUGUUGUGGUAGCCACAUGGAUUGCCUUUACAUUACUAUUGUUACUCCUUAAAGUGGAUAAAGACGGGUCGGCCCUGAGGGGUACCCGGGCAAGCAUGUGAUGCGAGUGAUGUGGAGACGGGUUGACUUGGAGGGUGCCCGCGAGUUAAUGAUGAGGCAUGGUCGGGCAUUCUUAGCCCAUGCCGCAAGUCCUCGAGAUGGGGCAACGGGGUCACAUCGAUCGUGAGUCUCUGCUCGUUAUCGCAAGCUCCUAAUCCACUAACGCUUUGGAUAUUUGAUCCGAGGGGCCUCUGUCCUGUAGCACCAACCACCAUGCAGGAAUAAGUAUGGGCACUCUGCAUCGUAAGUAUCAGCCGAGAGCUGACUGACAUUAACGAUGGAGCGGCGCGCACCGAGUUGAACUGCGUAAGCACCUGCCUUAUGUAAAGGAGGUUGCCAGGUGUGCUGACCGGCCGCCCUCGCAACACGUGUGAUUGCGAAGGAUGAUUUACUCAUGACCCCUUCGCAUUUUGGAUGUAGACCGGCGUGCUGGCCUCUCUAUUGAGCCUAGGUAGGACUAUGGUGUGUUGAUCGGCCGAGGCCGGUCAUGACCUGAUGGUGUGUCCAACCGGAGUUGAUCAAGCGUGUUGCAUAAGUUGGUGCAUCCCUGUAGGGAACAAAACAUCUAUCGAUAGCCUGUCCUAUGGUAAUGGACACUUGGAGUUGUAUCCCGAUCAAUACAACUAGAACUGGAUACUUGAGAUGAGAAAUGUAUAGUAUGGCUCUGGGAUUGCUUUCUCGCAGGGAGUCAAGGAAGGAUCUCUGGGCGAGGUUGAUGAAACUACUAGUACUUUACUUUAUGCUACUCUACACUCUUCUAAUGAUGCAAGACCGCUGAAGAUGCUAGUCUUCGAUAGGACUAGGCUAUCCCCUCUAUUCUGGCAUUUCUGUAGCCCAGUCCACAUAUACAGCCUUCCUUUGAUAAUGUUGCAUAUGUAGUGUAGAUCCUUGCUUGUUGAGUACUUUGGAUGAGUACUCACGUUUGCUUUGCUUUCUUUUCCCCCAUAUACGUUUGAUGCAACCAGAUGAUGGAGCCCCUGAGACCGAUGCCCCCGCCAACGACUACCACUACUACGUCGAGGGUGGCUACUUCUAUGAGGAGCCGUCCAACGACCAGGAGUAGGAUCGGAGGGUCCUAGGCAGGAGGCCUACACCUUCCGAUCGAAGCUUUUAUUUUGCCCCACCUUUCUAAAGGCUUAUCUGUUGCUUCGUAUUAUCUUUACUCAGAUAUCUGAUGCUUCCGCUGACACUUUUAUGCCAUCGAGCUAUGUAUUCGAGCCCUCGAGGCCCUG
rnacentral:lncRNA from 1 species